rnacentral:rRNA from 1 species
GACGAACGCUGGCGGCGUGCUUAACACAUGCAAGUCGAACGGAAAGGCCUCUUUCGGGGGGUACUCGAGUGGCGAACGGGUGAGUAACACGUGAGUAACCUGCCCUUGACUUUGGGAUAACUUCAGGAAACUGGGGCUAAUACCAGAUAGGAGCUCCUGCUGCAUGGUGGGGGUUGGAAAGUUUCGGCGGUUGGGGAUGGACUCGCGGCUUAUCAGCUUGUUGGUGGGGUAGUGGCUUACCAAGGCUUUGACGGGUAGCCGGCCGGAGAGGGUGACCGGCCACAUUGGGACUGAGAUACGGCCCAGACUCCUACGGGAGGCAGCAGUGGGGAAUAUUGCACAAUGGGUGGAAGCCUGAUGCAGCAACGCCGUGUGCGGGAUGACGGCCUUCGGGUUGUAAACCGCUUUCGCUCAUGACGAAGCUUUGUGUGACGGUAGUGGGUAAAGAAGCACCGGCUAACUACGUG